rnacentral:ncRNA from 1 species
AGCAAAGAUAAAAACGCAAUGUGUAUCUCUCGAUAUGCUAGAGCUGGUAGGUAGCCCAGCCGUCCUAUGUUAUAUAGGGUAAGUAACCUGCCCCUCCGGGUUGUCCACU